rnacentral:rRNA from 1 species
AGCAGUGGGGAAUAUUGGACAAUGGGCGCAAGCCUGAUCCAGCCAUACCGCGUGGGUGAAGAAGGCCUUCGGGUUGUAAAGCCCUUUUGUUGGGAAAGAAAUCCAGCUGGCUAAUACCCGGUUGGGAUGACGGUACCCAAAGAAUAAGCACCGGCUAAAUUCGUGCCAGCAGCCGCGGUAAUACGAAGGGUGCAAGCGUUACUUGGAAUUACUGGGCGUAAAGCGUGCGUAGGUGGUCGUUUAAGUCCGUUGUGAAAGCCCUGGGCUCAACCUGGGAAAUGCAGUGGAUACUGGGCGACUAGAGUGUGGUAGAGGGUAGCGGAAUUCCUGGUGUAGCAGUGAAAUGCGUAGAGAUCAGGAGGAACAUCCAUGGCGAAGGCAGCUACCUGGACCAACACUGACACUGAGGCACGAAAGCGUGGGGAGCAAACAGGAUUAGAUACCCUGGUAGUCCACGCCCUAAACGAUGCGAACUGGAUGUUGGGUGCAAUUUGGCACGCAGUAUCGAAGCUAACG